CUUGAAAGCUGGCUAGCACACAUCCUAGGGAAGAUCCCCGAGGUUGGCUCUGUGCUGAAAGAUGCUUGUCUUCCAUGACAGUGGCUGUGGGUAACCAGUACUUUGAAAGAGGAGCCCAUGGAUAACAUGCUGCAGAAGUAACCCAGGAUGGAUGUGAGAGCAUUUCAGAGUCCUCCCCCAUGCUGCCUGGAGAACUUGACAAGCUGGAGCCAACCCUACAGUAGACUUGGCACUUUAAUUACUCCAGGCAAUGAUACUGGGCUGACUUAAAUGGAAAACUGAAAAAUUGAGGAGUUGAGACUAACAACUGUGACCUUCCAUGAGGUUGGCAGCUCAUUGCACUUUUCUAUAGCUCAAAGA
rnacentral:lncRNA from 1 species